GGUGCGUACUAGGUUCUUCGGCUUUUCGUCGGUUUUCUUGUUGUGGCCUUUAUUGGUGGCGGCAAGUGGCUGACAAUUUUACUUUGAACAAAUCAGAGUGCUCAAAACAGGCGUUUCGCUUGUAUGUUUUUGCAUGGAAUAAUAGAAUAUGACUUCGGUCUAGUUUUAUUGGUUUUAUUGAUCGUUGUAAUGAUUAAAAGAGACAAACGGGGGCAUUCGUAUUGUUGCGUGAGAGGUGAAAUUCUUGGACCGCAGCAAGACGACCUACAGCGAAAGCAUUUGCCAAGCUUGUCUUCAUUAAUCAAGAACGAAAGUCAGAGGAUCGAAGGUGAUCAGAUACCGCCCUAGUUCUGACCGUAAACGAUGCCAACUAGCGAUUCGCCGGUGGAAUAUUUGCCCUGGCGAGGAGCUUCCCGGAAACGAAAGUCUUCCGGUUCCGGGGGAAGUAUGGUUGCAAAGCUGAAACUUAAAGGAAUUGACGGAAGGGCACCCCCAGGAGUGGAGCCCGCGGCUUAAUUUGACUCAACACGGGAAAACUCACCCGGCCCGGACACUAUAAGGAUUGACAGAUUGAUAGCUCUUUCAUGAUUUGGUGGAUGGUGGUGCACGGCCGUUCUUAGUUCGUGGAGUGAUUUGUCUGGUUUAUUCCGAUAACGAGCGAGACUCUAGCCUCCUAAAUAGUUCGCUCAUUGUUUAUUGUGUAGCGGUACUUCCUAGAGGAAUGUUCGG
rnacentral:rRNA from 1 species